rnacentral:rRNA from 1 species
UACGGAGGGUGCAAGCGUUAUCCGGAUUCACUGGGUUUAAAGGGUGCGUAGGCGGGCAGGUAAGUCCGUGGUGAAAUCUCUGAGCUUAACUCAGAAACUGCCAUGGAUACUAUUUGUCUUGAAUACUGUGGAGGUAAGCGGAAUAUGUCAUGUAGCGGUGAAAUGCUUAGAUAUGACAUGGAACACCAAUUGCGAAGGCAGCUUACUACACAAAUAUUGACGCUGAGGCACGAAAGCGUGGGGAUCAAACAGG